GACGAACGCUGGCGGCGUGCCUAAUACAUGCAAGUCGAGCGGAUCUUCAUUAGCUUGCUUUUGAAGAUCAGCGGCGGACGGGUGAGUAACACGUGGGCAACCUGCCUGUAAGACUGGGAUAACUUCGGGAAACCGGAGCUAAUACCGGAUAAUCCUUUUCCUCUCAUGAGGAAAAGUUGAAAGACGGUUUCGGCUGUCACUUACAGAUGGGCCCGCGGCGCAUUAGCUAGUUGGUGAGGUAACGGCUCACCAAGGCGACGAUGCGUAGCCGACCUGAGAGGGUGAUCGGCCACACUGGGACUGAGACACGGCCCAGACUCCUACGGGAGGCAGCAGUAGGGAAUCUUCCGCAAUGGACGAAAGUCUGACGGAGCAACGCCGCGUGAGCGAUGAAGGCCUUCGGGUCGUAAAGCUCUGUUGUCAGGGAAGAACAAGUACCGGAGUAACUGCCGGUACCUUGACGGUACCUGACCAGAAAGCCACGGCUAACUACGUGCCAGCCGCCGCGGUAACAC
rnacentral:rRNA from 1 species